rnacentral:misc_RNA from 1 species
UCCGGUUUGGCACCGGCAGUCUCCCUAGAGUUCCCGGCAUGACCCGCUGGCAACUAAGGACAGGGGUUGCGCUCGUUGCGCCACUUAAGGCAACACCUCACGGCACGAGCUGACGACAGCCAUGCAGCACCUGAACCAGGGGUCCCCGAAGGGAAGACCUCAUCUCUGAGGCUGACCCCUGUUGUCUAGCCCAGGUAAGGUUCUUCGCGUUGCGUCGAAUUAAGCCACAUACUCCACCGCUUGUGCAGGCCCCCGUCAAUUCCUUUGAGUUUUAACCUUGCGGUCGUAAUCCCCAGGCGGGGUGCUUAAUGCGUUAGCUACGGCACGGAGGGAGUGGAUAACCCCCCACACCUAGCACCCAUCGUUUACGGCGUGGACUAC